rnacentral:rRNA from 1 species
GUCUACGACCAUGCCACCCUGAACGUGCCCAAUCGCAUAUGAUCUCGGAAGCCUAGCAGGGUCGGGCCUGGUUAGUGUUUGGAUGGGAGACCACCUAGGAAUACUAGGUGCUGUAGGUG